GACGAACGCUGGCGGCGUGCUUAACACAUGCAAGUCGAGCGGUAAGGCCCUUUCGGGGGUACGACGAGCGGCGGAACGGGUAGGAGUAACAACGUGGGUGGACCUCGCCCUCCAGCUCUGGGAGUAAGACCCGGGGAAACCGUAGGGUCGUAAUAACCGGAUAUGACUCCAUGACGCAUGUUGUGGGGUGGGAAAGACCUUGUGCGGC
rnacentral:rRNA from 1 species